GAUGAACGCUGGCGGCGUGCCUAAUACAUGCAAGUCGAGCGAACAGACGAGGAGCUUGCUCCUUUGACGUUAGCGGCGGACGGGUGAGUAACACGUGGGUAACCUACCUAUAAGACUGGGAUAACUUCGAGAAACCGGAGCUAAUACCGGAUAAUAUUUCGAACCGCAUGGUUCGAUAGUGAAAGAUGGCUUUGCUAUCACUUAUAGAUGGACCUGCGCCGUAUUAGCUAGUUGGUAAGGUAACGGCUUACCAAGGCAACGAUACGUAGCCGACCUGAGAGGGUGAUCGGCCACACUGGAACUGAGACACGGUCCAGACUCCUACGGGAGGCAGCAGUAGGGAAUCUUCCGCAAUGGGCGAAAGCCUGACGGAGCAACGCCGCGUGAGUGAUGAAGGUCUUCGGAUCGUAAAACUCUGUUAUUAGGGAAGAACAAACGUGUAAGUAACUGUGCACGUCUUGACGGUACCUAAUCAGAAAGCCACGGCUAACUACGUG
rnacentral:rRNA from 1 species